rnacentral:sRNA from 1 species
GCUUCUGUGCCUGGCUUUUUAUGUGGGUUCUGUGGGUCCAAAUUUAGGUCUUUAUGCUUAUGGCAAGCACUUAACUGACUAAGUCAUCUUCCCGGCCCUCUCUGGGGCUCAGUUUUGUUUUGUUUUUUUUUCUUUAUUGCCUUGAAUAAAAAUGACAGUGUGCUCUUGAAGAGCCGCAGUGAGAGGAUACUCUUGCCUCACUCGUGACCUUGGGACGAAAGCAUUUAGUUGUUCAACACUGAUCAUGCUGUUACCUCACAGUUUUAUAGAUUCCCUUUAUCAAGGUGACAAUGUCUUCCACAGCUAGUUGACUACGAGUUUUAAUCAAGAAGUGUUAAACCAAGGAGAAAGGCCAGUACCACAAUUGUCCAAUGAAAGCAAGCUUUAUUUUAAUACUGGCCAGGAAGAUGGACACUGGCCAUGCCUGUACUCAGAAUUCCCAGAGAACAGCCAUGAGCUACACUGGCCAGGCACUUACAAAGGAAACCCCACAAGGUUCCAGAUUUCCCAUUUUCAACCAACUGGGGGCAAGCACACAUCCUGCCUAUGUGUGUUCAAACAUGGGUACAGUCGGACCAACCAAACUCAUUCAGGGAAGCAGCACACGUGGUUUGCUCCAUGAACAGCCUCGAGCAUCUCAGGAGGUACCGCCUUCGGCAAGUGGUACUUACAGUUCACUUUCGCCCUUACAGAAGGAAUUGAAUCUUGUCGAGUGCUUUCUUGUAUCUGAUAAAGCUAUCUCAGUUUUUGUUCAUUACUCUGUCAAUAUGAUGAAUUACAAUGUCUUUCUCUUUUUGUUAACUUUCUCUCUCCCCCCACCUGCCGCCAUGUGCCUAUAUCUUUGUCUCUGUCUUUCUCUCCCCCGCACCCCAACCUGAGAGAACCUCAUAUAUUGAAGGUUGGCCCCAAACUCUAUACUAACUUGAUGUACGGCCAAGGAUGACCUUGAACUCCUGCUUCUACCUCCCAGAUGCUGGGAUUACAGCAUCAGAGAGUGGACGUGGGUGAUGAGUCCUCCGGAAAUCAGAAGUCCAUGUGUGUCUUCCCACUUGACUGCCACUUGCUCCGAGGAAGUUGACAGGUACCAGGAGCUGAGAACCAUAACUGAGCAGGUGGGAAACACCUCUGGCCUGUCACCCGGCAGUGUCGGUCAUUUGAAACACUUCGGCUUAACUGUAAUGACAGCCUCGUUUACCUGGAAGCUGGUCGGGAUAGAAGUCCAGGAUGGCUACAUUCACACCUUGGCAGCUUGCCCGGCACCUUGGUUCUCUUCUAAAUGACCGCCCACCCUCCAGGAGGCCAGGGUUCCUGAGUGGCCAUCUCACGCAGUGCUUCAAGGGGUCACAGGCAGCAACUGUUUUCCAGGUUCUUCAGGACCCAGACAUCAGAACUCAUCCAAUGCCUAUCUUAUUGGUCAACAUAAGACCAACACCCAUGUUCAAUGGUAUGGAGAAAAACCUGCUCCGUCCUGGAUGGGAAGAACACAGAGUCACAUUAUCAAAGAGAGCCAUGCUGGAUACUUUAGUGGAGAGAAUGACGACCACUAAACAAUUACACACUCUCCUUCUCUGCCCCUCUCUCGAGCCAUCUUGGCAUUGUCUUCUUGUGGGUCACCUCUGAAAUGCAUACUUAAACGGGGAUAUUGGAAACAGUGUCUGCUGCUGGAGAAACCUAAGCCGUAAUCCACACAGCAUCAUGGGAGGCUGGGAAUCAGCCAGAGACUCAGCUCCUAGACAGGAGAUAAGGACAGGCCACGGGAGAGCCUCGUCUCUCAUCUCCAUCUCUUCUGAUAGCCCAUAGCCUUGCUUUCUCUUUCUUUAGUAAAGAUCAGUUCAGUGAGACUCUGGGAAAAUUUCCACGAACACUGGUGGGAGCCACAAGAGAAGAUCUGGAGGAUGGGCCCAUUUUUUUUAAAUGUUUUUCCAGAUAUGGAAAUAUUCUUGCUUCUAUUCUGAGGAAGAGUUCGUAUCUCCAGUUUUCUGAAUUGAAGAACACACACCACGACACUUGUGUGGACAGCAGAGGAUAGCUAACAGGGACGAGUCCGUUCUGUCUGUCCCUGAGGUGUGGGUGUCUGGGGAAUUGAACUCAGGCUGUCAAACUCAAGCUACCACUGAGCUGAAUCCCCAAGCCCCCCAAUUCAAUCUUUCAAUGGUGGGUGUUUUUUGUUUCUUUGCUCUCAAGACACGGUUUCUGUGUGUAGCUCUGGCUGUCCUGGAACUUGUUCUGUAGACCAGACUUGCCCCCAAACCCAGAUAUCUGCCUGCCUCUGCUUCCUGACCUCUGGAACUAAAGGCUAUCUUUUUUAAUUAAAAAUCAUUUUCAUCCAA